UUUAUUAUUUCUCUUCUGUUUUUGCCGAGAUUAAACAGUGAAGGCCUGUUGGACACUUUGUGAAGUAAUUUCCUCUUCCCACCAACAAGAUACGACUUACAGUGUGGGGCUCCCUCCUCUUAGACUCCUCACUACGCAGAGCUGAGGCAUCACCAGGAUUCAAACUCAUGACCUCCUGAAGUUCACUGCUCUAAGUUCAGUUCAGAUCAUAGAUCAUCAUCUCCUGGAGCUGAAGCUGCAGACAUGAGCGUCUGUCCUCGUUCUCUCCUCCUGGGUCUGCUGGUCAUCCUCUACCUUCAGUCCUGUGCAGAGG